rnacentral:rRNA from 1 species
GCUUGCUGGAUGCUGACGAGCGGCGGACGGGUGAGUAAUGCAUAGGAAUCUGCCCGAUAGUGGGGGAUAACCUGGGGAAACCCAGGCUAAUACCGCAUACGUCCUACGGGAGAAAGGGGGCUCCGGCUCCCGCUAUGGGAUGAGCCUAUGUCGGAUUAGCUAGUUGGUGAGGUAACGGCUCACCAAGGCCACGAUCCGUAGCUGGUCUGAGAGGAUGAUCAGCCACAUCGGGACUGAGACACGGCCCGAACUCCUACGGGAGGCAGCAGUGGGGAAUAUUGGACAAUGGGCGCAAGCCUGAUCCAGCCAUGCCGCGUGUGUGAAGAAGGCCCUCGGGUUGUAAAGCACUUUCAGCGAGGAAGAACGCCUAGCGGUUAAUACCCGCUAGGAAAGACAUCACUCGCAGAAGAAGCACCGGCUAACUCCGUGCCAGCAGCCGCGGUAAUACGGAGGGUGCAAGCGUUAAUCGGAAUUACUGGGCGUAAAGCGCGCGUAGGUGGCUUGAUAAGCCGGUUGUGAAAGCCCCGGGCUCAACCUGGGAACGGCAUCCGGAACUGUCAAGCUAGAGUGCAGGAGAGGAAGGUAGAAUUCCUCGGUGUAGCGGUGAAAUGCGUAGAGAUCGGGAGGAAUACCAGUGGCGAAAGGCGGCCUUCUGGACUGACACUGACACUGAGGUGCGAAAAGCGUGGGUAGCAAA